CUGGUUUCCGUUUUCCAUCAACAAAUAAUAUUAGGUCAGGAUUCUCAGUGGAGUUUGUAACUAAUCUGAGUAAGGUACAGAAAAGUUCUCUGAGAGGAGAGGAUCUCUUACUCAGGACACUGUCACCUCAUAUGGAAAUGUCACAAUCUCAGAAAAAUUCAGCACUCCUUACCUGUAAUAUCCUGUUAAACCUGGAAAUCUUCUCAGCUGUCAUUUUGUAAGUCUUCUCCAGUUUAGCUAAAAUCAAUCCCAUCUGCUAGUCAUCCAGACCAAAACCUCCGCAUCUUCCUUCACUCCUUUCCUGCUCCUCCCAUUCCACAUCUGAUUUCUAAGAAUAUCACUUGAACACUAUCUAACAAGAAGGAGUGUAUAUAGAGUGCCUCUGUAUCGGACUCCUAACAGAGCAGCAGCUUACCUAAUCACCAUGGAAUCCAAGGAAAUCUGAGACUUGUAUAAUGGUCCUGCAGUUGUUCAAACAUCUCUUAAAACUUGUUGCCCACACCUCUCCUGGCUGCAAUAAAUAUAAUAAUAUUUUCCAGGCUGACAGGAGUAUGACUUGAUUCAGUUUACUCAUGUUGCUAUAUUCAACCCUAAU